rnacentral:tRNA from 1 species
GUCCCCAUCGUCUAGCCUGGUCUAGGACAACGCCCUUUCACGGCGUAAGCAGGGGUUCGAAUCCCCUUGGGGACA